UGUCUAUUCAAUAGAUACCAUGGGGGGAGCAUUUGAUCCAGCUAGCUGGCAAACAAGAUUUGGUGUUAGGAUGCGACAGGGCCUCCCUCCAAUGCAAAAUCACAUUAACCAUGUCACCGCUGUCAAUUGUUUUCUUGAGUUUGUUCCCAAAACCUCUUAAUUAUUAUUGCCCACGGAUAGUCAUGUUAUCUACAUAAUCUGAUUUUGCCACUCUUCAGGGUUCGGCAUUGUGAAUAGAGGUUCAUCUUUGUGAUUAGGUUGCCACCGCCGCUGCUUUCUACUCAUUCGACGAAUGUUUUGCAAAGAAGAAAUCUGGUUUUUCUUACCCUCGAUUCCUUCCUAUGAUACAACUAACAAAAUGAAAUGGUACAUUCAGGUAUCUUUAAAACCUUUUCACUUCCAAAUUAGAAUGAUAUCAUGCUCAAGAGGUAACAUUUUCUGAUGUUUUUUAUUUUAAUAGUAA